rnacentral:rRNA from 1 species
UAGGGAAUCUUCGGCAAUGGACGAAAGUCUGACCGAGCAACGCCGCGUGAGUGAAGAAGGUUUUCGGAUCGUAAAACUCUGUUGUUAGAGAAGAACAAGGACGUUAGUAACUGAACGUCCCCUGACGGUAUCUAACCAGAAAGCCACGGCUAACUACGUGCCAGCAGCCGCGGUAAUACGUAGGUGGCAAGCGUUGUCCGGAUUUAUUGGGCGUAAAGCGAGCGCAGGCGGUUUCUUAAGUCUGAUGUGAAAGCCCCCGGCUCAACCGGGGAGGGUCAUUGGAAACUGGGAGACUUGAGUGCAGAAUAGGAGAGUGGAAUUCCAUGUGUAGCGGUAAAAUGCGUAGAUAUAUGGAGGAACACCAGUGGCGAAGGCGGCUCUCUGGUCUGUAACUGACGCUGAGGCUCGAAAGCGUGGGGAGCAAACAGG